GGGAUUUGUAUAAUGUACGUGAAAUAAAUGAACGAUUUUUUUUUUUGUAUUGCAUUGCUAAGAACAUAAACCAUCAAUGCCAGGGGUACAUACAAUUGAGAGUACAAAUGCAAAUUACAAAAUCAGGAAAAUAUCGUACAAAAUGAACGAUUUGUGACAUUUCAAGUGUCGGACGCAUGACGCCAGCGGGCUGCAAGAGUCUGAGCCAAUCACAAAGUUCAGAACGACUGACGCACAUACGUCAUGAACGUGCAGGCCUACGUGACGCGCGAGUCAGCUGACGCUGUGUGUAAAUGAACUCUUUACGUGAUUUCCCAAGAUUUCCACGCCGCGAAAUGUAUGAAGAAAUGUCAGUAGAAAGAAACUGGACGGACACCGAGACGAGGGCGCUGCUGUACAUCCGACAGGACGAAGAAAUCAGUAGGCAAAUCAGCGGAACGGUUCGCGACUCUCUUAUUUACGCGGAAAUAUCAAAGCUUCUGCGGGCGCAAGGGAUCCACAGAACCAAGCGACAGGUCACCACCAAACUGAAAACACUCAAGCAGAAGUUCCUGAAAAUACUCGAGCAUCACAAAAACAACGGCCACGGCAGAGUGUACUGGAAUUAUUAUGAUCUCUGCAAGUCCAUUUGGGGCAGCAACCGCCCCGCGGACGCGUUGACGCUUCACAACAACGUGAAACUCGAAGAGCCCCAGAGUACCUCCAUCGAGGACACGCGACAUGAGAGCAGAUCCACAGACAUCGAGGUGUCCGUCAGUCACGACGAGGAGACGGAGGACACGGCAGACGUGGUCGCUCAGCCUGUGAGGAAGAAGGCCAAAAAACAUUCCGUUACCGACUCUGUGAGAGAUCAAGAACCUCUUCACGUGCAGAACCAGAGGGAGUACGAGGAACGCUUGCGAAGGGAAGCCAGAGAGGAACAGAAGGAGGAACGGGCGAGUCUGAUGGCCAUGUGGAAGGAGAUGAUGGAGUUUCAAGGGAACCUCUUAAAGGAGUUCAUACACCGCCCAUCUCUGCCUUCACAUCCAUCUUACCACAGACAUGCUCUUCACAACCAAGCACGCUCUAGUUUUCCAAGCACUAGCUACAUGCCACUGUACGACUCGCCAGGAGCUGAAACUGAGAAUGAAAGUGCUGACAUAAUUUUGUGUGUAUUUGAUCAUUCAAGCGCAAUAAGUCAUGAAAGGGAACUGAAUUCAGCCUAAGUGUAAUAAAUUUGACAAACUCCAUUUUGCUAAUUUAACAACUCUGCCCUUUCACAGAGCUGAAACUGAGAAUGAAAGUGCAAUCUCACAUGAAGAAGAAGAAGAGGAGGAGGAAGAGAAAUACAUUAUUCCAGCUGAGAUUGCACCUGUGUUGGACAUUCAGCCUGUUAACCGUGCGAACGACAGCCAAUCAAACACAGCAGAGACUUUUUCACCCCCGCCUACACAAUCAGCAGGAAAGAGCGAUCUGGAGAUGUCUGUGCUACGCAGACAGGAACGAGUCUUACAGCUUCAGGAAGAGUACUAUUCACUCAAAAUCAACUAUCUGAAACACAAGAUGGCCAAGGAUCCAUGACAGAAUGCUAAAGAGGAGUGUUAACUCUUGCUCUUUCAAGCUGUGAAAACUUGCAAAUGUAGAUGUUCUCAGCUGGACUGUUGAAAAUUUCAGUGCACCUCAUAUUCCUUGUAAUUCUUAUUACAUAUUUUGACCAGUAGAUGGCAAGGUGGUUACUUCAUAUAUUUCCUGGUGUCAUUAGACAUGUGAUUUACAGCUAAGGCUGUAAAUAUAUGAAUAUUUAUAUAAAUUUGCACAUUUUUAUGGCAGUUUACUAGCAGUUGUUUGCAAAAUUGUCUCCAUUUUCUCCACUAAAGGUUACUGGUCUUAUUAUAAGUGAUUCAUUAGUUUGUUGUGUAACAAUCAAUCACACAAUUAUGUCACAAUCAAUUCCUGAUGGAUAACAGUCUUGCUUUACCUUUUAUGUUCCCAUUUAAGGUUCUGUUUUGCACAAUAUAGCAGUAAAUAUAGCGUUGCAAAUGCAGUUUAAUGCUGACUAUAGGAACUACCGUGAGCUAGAUGUUACACUUCUAAUGUGGAGUAUGUCCGUUACCAUUAUUUUUCAUUAAAUUAAUGAAAACCAGCGAGGAGUCGGAAACAUAGUAUUCAAAAUACUAAAUCAAAAGAAUUUAGAAUUUCAAAGAAUUGUUUAAAGCAGGGAUUCCCAAACUAAUUUGUCCGUCAAACCCCCCUUUGAACUAAAAUAUUUUCUUGAGAUUUUAAGUUAUAUGUAAUAUUUGAAAACAUCUGCAUGUUCACGGUUCUGUGAUGUCAGUUAAUGGUCACAUGACAUGCAGGUAAACAAAUAAAAUAUUGUUUUUAAAAAAAAAAUAAUUUACAUUUUUGUAUUUUAUUUUGAAGCUAUUUAUUUUGCAUUUUAAAAUGUUUAAUAAAUAUUGGCUUUUCAUUAUCUCACAACCCUCUGCAGUUCCUUUGUGAAACCCAGAUUGGGAAACUCUGGUUUAUAGGAACAGUUCAUCUGAAUACAAAAAAAAAGAGAAAAAUCUGUUGUUCUGAACCCUUAUGCUGUUAUUUGUUCUGUACACAGCUCUUACAACAUCUGUCAAGCUUUAAACGGGACCAAAAGCACACAAGUCUUAUGGAGUAUUUUGUGUUCCCUUACGUCUGUCAAACUCCAAAAAGGCCCUUUUUGAGCUUGACGGACCCGGGUCACUGUGAACUGUCAGUGUAUGGCAAGAGCUGUGCAACAAUUCUUCGAAAAUGUCUACAUUUGUGUUUCACAGAAAGAAAUAAGAGCAUACAGGUUUGGAAUAACACGAGUAAAUAAUGACAGGAUUUUCGUUCUAUAGGUUUAUGCUAUAGCUCCAAAAGCUCCAGCUAUAAUGUUUUUUUAUCCUUCAGUGUUCUUUUCUGUUUAUUAUCACUCUCUUUCUCUUGUAUUUUCACUUCCAUCUCUCUGUUGUUCCCAAUCUCCCUCCUGCUAUUACUUCUCACACGAAGACAUUAUGAUUAUAUGACAGACCUGUCUUUUGUUCAGUGUUUUUGUUUUAAAAUGGAUUUUCACUUUCUUUACUGUUAAUUUAUCAUUUUUUUAUGGUUCAGUCUUUUGUGAAGAAAAAGUUUAUAGAUCUGAAGAUGAAAGUAAAAU
ensembl:lncRNA uncharacterized LOC107584071